rnacentral:lncRNA from 1 species
AUGAAGGCGGUGGCACAUGGAAGUUACUUUUCAGAGCUAAUUAGCUGGGCGUUAAGUCUCAAACGAUGCUUAACCUAUUGGGCAAGUACAACCUGCAGCCCCCGCACAUUUGCUUGCCCCAUCGGUAACUGUCACCAUAAAUUACCGAAUUCCCCCCCCCAGCCCUUUGAAUGCUUGCUUCAGGUUGGGCUUUUCCUGUCUCUGGUGCUCUCAGAAUGCAUCAGGAGCUUUCCCAGCAAGAAGGAGACGAACAUCCUGCUCCAUGGGCUGUGUGAUGUGGAGGACACUCAGCCCUCCAGUGAAGGAUGUGAGGGACCCUGCCCAGGAGGAGGAGCACAGCCCGCCCGUGGGUCAGUGCCACCCAGCCUCCUGCCACUCCUGGGGUUUAAGCUGGAGCAGGAGCCUUGGUGCAAGUCCCACCGGACACCUUCUGCUAGGAGCUGUGCCUAGAUGUCACCACCCGCUUGCUGAACCCUGUGGUGUCACUGGAACAAAAUCCCAUCUGAUAUAACGUUGCAUGGGAAGCUGCCACAACCACCAGUCAGUCUGGUUGGACUGCAGAGCUUUAGUGAAACAAACCAGCACCUAUCGAUCAACUGGCAACAGAAAUGAAAAGCGCGCUGGCCAAGAAGCCAAAGAUAUUCAAGAUCUGCAAUGGAACGACAAAUGGUCUUUGCAGCUUUUGUCUUCUUGUUUUCAUAAGUCUGCCUCUGUCUCGCUGUGCCCUCCUCAGCACUGAGGUUUUUUUUUCAAUUGGUUUCUGCUUAGGGGAUUCACUGUGCAAAGACAUUCACCAAUGAGUGCUGCUUUCCCCUGUUUUAGAAGAGAUGCUGUUCCCCAGGAGCCAGAGGUGCUCUGUAGGACACUGUGUAACAAAUUCUUUAUGAGGGAAUACAUAAUAAAUUGAGGAUUUUCUUUUAUUUUGAUAAUUUA